rnacentral:rRNA from 1 species
UACGUAGGUGACAAGCGUUGUCCGGAUUUACUGGGCGUAAAGAGCGCGCAGGCGGUCGAUCAAGUCGAGUGUGAAAGCCCCCGGCUCAACUGGGGAGGGUCAUUCGAUACUGAUCGACUCGAAGGCAGGAGAGGGUAGUGGAAUUCCCGGUGUAGUGGUGAAAUGCGUAGAUAUCUGGAGGAACACCGGUGGCGAAGGCGGCAUCCUGGACCGGUAGUUGACGCUGAGGAGCGAAAGCCAGGGGAGCAAAGCGGG